GACGAACGCUGGCGGCGCGCCAAAUGCAUGCAAGUCGAGCGACGCAUGCUCGGUGGGUAACCACUGGGUAUGACGGAGCGGCGAACGGGUGAGUAACACGUGAGUAACCUGCCCCGAAGAUCGGGAUAGCCCGGGGAAACCCGGAUUAAUACCGAAUACCCUCUCUGGAUCGCAUGGUCCGGUGAGGAAAUGCCUUUGUGCUUCGGGAUGGACUCGCGGCCUAUCAGCUAGUUGGUGAGGUAACGGCUCACCAAGGCAACGACGGGUAGCUGGUCUGAGAGGACGAUCAGCCACACUGGGACUGAGACACGGCCCAGACUCCUACGGGAGGCAGCAGCAGGGAAUCUUGUCCAAUGGGCGCAAGCCUGAGACAGCGACGCCGCGUGAGGGAUGAAGGCCUUCGGGUUGUAAACCUCUUUCAGGAGGGACGAAAUUGACGGUACCUCCAGAAGAAGCCCCGGCCAACUACGUG
rnacentral:rRNA from 1 species